ACCUUACCUCUUGCCGCGUUGUCUCGGCGGGAGGCGGUGGGCGUCUCGCGCCCCUAGCGGGCCGUGCCGCUCCCGUCCCCGCCGGCGGCGCCAAACUCUAAAUUUACAGCGGACUGUACGUUCUGAUUUACAAAAAAAAACAAGUUAAAACUUUCAACAACGGAUCUCUUGGUUCUGGCAUCGAUGAAGAACGCAGCGAAAUGCGAUAAGUAAUGUGAAUUGCAGAAUUCAGUGAACCAUCGAAUCUUUGAACGCACAUUGCGCCCGGCAGUAAUCUGCCGGGCAUGCCUGUCCGAGCGUCAUUUCUACCCUCGAGCGAGUCCAGCAUCUAGGUGCUGUGCCCGCCCGGCGUUGGAGCACUACGGGAAGCCCUGUGCUGCCCCCCGUAGGCCCCGAAAUGAAGUGGCGGUCCUGCCGCGGCGCCCCCUGCGUAGUAUAACAGCUCGCUUCGGGACCCGGUGGAGGCCUGCCGUCAAACCUAUAUUCU
rnacentral:rRNA from 1 species